rnacentral:rRNA from 1 species
UACGUAGGGGGCGAGCGUUGUCCGGAGUUACUGGGCGUAAAGCGCACGCAGGCGGUGCUGCGCGUUUGGGGUUACAGCUCCCGGCUCAACCGGGAGAGCGCCUCGAAGACGGCAGCACUUGAGGGCCAGAGAGGGACACGGAACUCCGGGUGGAGUGGUGAAAUGCGUAGAUAUCCGGAAGAACACCAAAGGCGAAGGCAGUGUCCUGGCUGGUACCUGACGCUCAGGUGCGAAAGCUAGGGGGAGCGAACGGG